UACGUAGGGUGCGAGCGUUGUCCGGAAUUAUUGGGCGUAAAGAGCUCGUAGGCGGUCUGUCGCGUCGGUCGUGAAAACUUGGGGCUUAACCCUGAGCUUGCGGUCGAUACGGGCAUGACUGGAGUUCGGCAGGGGAGACUGGAAUUCCUGGUGUAGCGGUGAAAUGCGCAGAUAUCAGGAGGAACACCUAUUGCGAAGGCAGCUCGCUGGGACGUCACUGACGCUGAGACGCGAAAGCGUGGGGAGCAAACAGG
rnacentral:rRNA from 1 species